rnacentral:rRNA from 1 species
GAUGAACGCUGGCGGCGUGCUUAACACAUGCAAGUCGAACGGAAAGGCUCCUGCUUGCAGGGGUACUCGAGUGGCGAACGGGUGAGUAACACGUGGGUGAUCUGCCCUGCACUUCGGGAUAAGCUCGGGAAACUGGGUCUAAUACCGGAUAGGACCGCAUUUUGGAUGGUGUGGUGGAAAGAUUUUUCGGUGUGGGAUGAGCUCGCGGCCUAUCAGCUUGUUGGUGGGGUAGUGGCCUACCAAGGCGUCGACGGGUAGCCGGCCUGAGAGGGUGUACGGCCACAUUGGGACUGAGAUACGGCCCAGACUCCUACGGGAGGCAGCAGUGGGGAAUAUUGCACAAUGGGCGCAAGCCUGAUGCAGCGACGCCGCGUGGGGGAUGACGGCCUUCGGGUUGUAAACUGCUUUCGCUAGGGACGAAGAGUAGUUGACGGUACCUGGUGAAGAAGCACCGGCUAACUACGUG